rnacentral:tRNA from 2 species
GCUCAAAGAAAGGAGAUUUUAACUCCCACCCCUGGCUCCCAAAGCCAGGAUUCUUAAUUAAACUAUUCUUUG